rnacentral:rRNA from 1 species
GUGUCAGCCGCCGCGGUAAUACAGAGGGCGCGAGCGUUAAUCGGAUUUACUGGGCGUAAAGCGCGCGUAGGUGGUUAAUUAAGUCAAAUGUGAAAUCCCCGAGCUUAACUUGGGAAUUGCAUUCGAUACUGGUUAGCUAGAGUAUGGGAGAGGAUGGUAGAAUUCCAGGUGUAGCGGUGAAAUGCGUAGAGAUCUGGAGGAAUACCGAUGGCGAAGGCAGCCAUCUGGCCUAAUACUGACACUGAGGUGCGAAAGCAUGGGGAGCAAACAGGAUUAGAUACCCCCGUAGUCC